CCACCCCCACCUCCCUUAUCUCCCGCGCUCUCGUUCCCACCAUCGCCUCCACCAUGGCUGCCGUUGGCAUCACCUCCCCGCCGGCGCCGUCCGCCUUCGCGCCCGCCACAUCUUCCUGCUCCCACUCUCGCACUCCAUCCCCCGCUCGCAUCCGCUGCCUCCCCACCCGAUUCGCGGCUCUGGCGUCGUUCCGCGCGCGGUGCGCGCCGCUGCAGAUGGCGGGGUCGCGGC
rnacentral:lncRNA from 1 species